rnacentral:rRNA from 1 species
CGGACGGGUGAGUAACGCGUGGGAAUCUACCCAGUAGUGGGGGACAACUACCGGAAACGGUAGCUAAUACCGCAUACGCCCUAUGGGGGAAAGGCUUCGGCCGCUAUUGGAUGAGCCCGCUUCAGAUUAGCUAGUUGGUAGGGUAAAGGCCUACCAAGGCAACGAUCUGUAGCUGGUCUGAGAGGACGAACAGCCACACUGGGACUGAGACACGGCCCAGACUCCUACGGGAGGCAGCAGUGGGGAAUAUUGGACAAUGGGCGAAAGCCUGAUCCAGCAAUGCCGCGUGUGUGAAGAAGGCCUGCGGGUUGUAAAGCACUUUCAGUUGGGAAGAUGAUGACGUUACCAACAGAAGAAGCACCGGCUAAAUCCGUGCCAGCAGCCGCGGUAAUACGGAUGGUGCGAGCGUUAAUCGGAAUUACUGGGCGUAAAGCGCGCGUAGGCGGCUAAGUCAGUCAGCAGUGAAAGCCCCGGGCUCAACCUGGGAAUUGCUUUUGAUACUGCUUAGCUAGAGUUUGGUAGAGGAUAGUGGAAUUCCAGGUGUAGCGGUGAAAUGCGUAGAUAUCUGGAGGAAUAUCAGUGGCGAAGGCGACUGUCUGGACCAAAACUGACGCUGAGGUGCGAAAGCGUGGGUAGCAAACAGGAUUAGAUACCCUGGUAG